rnacentral:rRNA from 1 species
AUUGAACGCUGGCGGCAUGCCUUACACAUGCAAGUCGAACGGCAGCACGGGUGCUUGCACCUGGUGGCGAGUGGCGAACGGGUGAGUAAUACAUCGGAACAUGUCCUGUAGUGGGGGAUAGCCCGGCGAAAGCCGGAUUAAUACCGCAUACGAUCUACGGAUGAAAGCGGGGGCCCUUCGGGCCUCGCGCUAUGGGGUUGGCCGAUGGCUGAUUAGCUAGUUGGUGGGGUAAAGGCCUACCAAGGCGACGAUCAGUAGCUGGUCUGAGAGGACGACCAGCCACACUGGGACUGAGACACGGCCCAGACUCCUACGGGAGGCAGCAGUGGGGAAUUUUGGACAAUGGGCGAAAGCCUGAUCCAGCAAUGCCGCGUGUGUGAAGAAGGCCUUCGGGUUGUAAAGCACUUUUGUCCGGAAAGAAAUCCUUGGCCCUAAUACGGUCGGGGGAUGACGGUACCGGAAGAAUAAGCACCGGCUAACUACGUG